AGACUGCGUGCAAGGAAAAGCUUAAGGAGAUUAAAAGGAUGUUUCAGCAACUAACACACACAAAUAUUUCAGACAACUCUGCAGCCAGGCUUCUUCUACAAAAUAUACUGUGAAUACAAUACUGAGAUCGACUGUCCACUGCAAAAGUCUCUUAAAGAACUUCAUGUCCAGUUCUUUUUCAUUAACUAUACUUUGUCACAAAGGUAAGACAAUUCAGUAAAUACAUACAUACAUACAUAUAUACAUAAACACAGUAUUUCUCAAAGGUGAUGGACUGGCAGCCAUAGAAAACAACAUGCUGAGUUCCUAUACUGAAAAAAAAUGCAACAUUUGUAUUUUCUUUCUUUACAUAAUAAAAUAUUUGUUGUUCUUUUCAGAGCUGGCCUUUAUUUUUAAAUGAUUAAUGAACUUUAAGAUAAGAUAUUUUCAAAUAUUAAAAAGUCUGAUCUCACUUCUUGACACUCUUCUUUAGCUGUCUUUAAUAUAUAUAUAUACACAUAUAUAUAUUAAUUUGACCUUUUAAGUGACUAGUAUUGGAGAUAAAACAUGAAAAAGCUCUGUGGAGCUGACAGACAGCUGAUCAAAUAUUGUUCAGUUUUUCUACCUGUAUCUUAACUUAAUGAGAUGUUAAAAAAACCUCACCACCACCACCAAGAAAACCAGCAUCAAUCUGGCUUUCUGCCAUUUAUGUACAAAAUAUUCUGACUGACAUAGAAAUCCUGAAUAAAAUUAAUGUAUGAUGUAAAUGAUGUAAAAACUGAUGUAAUUUUUUUUUCCUAGGAAUUUUCAUUCUUAUAACAUCACAAAAGUAUGGAAAACCUUGAUCCUUUCUUUACUGAAUGUUUUGAAAAACAAAACAAAUCAAAACAAAACAUGGGAACAUCGCUAAUUAGCUUAGAAAUUAGUUCAACCAUAAAUAUCUGUGCACCUGCUAAAAUAACAGUCUCCUUCUGGUAUUUUCCGUAAAAUACUCCUUUACUGUCUAAAUCAGCGUAGGUAAAUCAGCUAUCUUUUAAGUAGACCUGAUAGCAAUUAAACUUGAUUAAUAGCUGCUGCAAUUCCAAGGUAUUACUCUAUGUUUCUUUCAACCUUGUUAUUAAUAUGAAUUUUCAACUCAAACACAACAUUGUAAAACAUCAUGGAAUCUGAAGACAGCCUGAAGAUAUUCAAGAAGACAAAAUGAGAGUAAAGGUCAUAGAUACCCUUCUAAAAAGUUGAAUAAAAAUGAACCAAGGGCCAAGAAGAUCAGACAAAAGAGCUUCAUCUUCUCUUUAACCAGACUUGAGGGUUAGUCUUUGUCAAGCAGUGAUAAAACGGAUUAGAUCCACUGGCAGUGUGGCCAAGUUGAUUCAGGUCUUUUCGUUGUGACAGCUUCCUUGGAUUUAUGUUAUAUGCAACAUUUUUGUUCAGAUAAACUUAAUUUAAAAAUAGAGCCCUACAGUAUAAUCAUGCCAGAUUCGUGCAAUUUGGCUUAAAAUGCACUGCAAUGUAAAAUCCAGACCACUAGGGGUCCAAGUGCACAGUCAGCCACGCGUUAUUGUACACCUACACAACCUCCAAAGAAGUUUAAAGGAAACACCUUGAGACUUGUGUGGAUUUUUAUUAACCCAGCACUGUGAAUUGAUGGGGUGCUGGUGAAAAACAAACAUAGGCAUAGAAAACAUAAGGUCUGCUUCACACAAGAGCUCUUUAUUGACAGUUUAUGACAUAGACUUGAAAUGGCCUGAUACUGCUCCUACAAUUUUAGCCUCCCAAAACUGACAGGCAUUUUGAGACUUUGUUCACCCUGUGAGGGCUUGCCUUGCCUUGCCUUGUCAUUGCAUCUUUCUCCUCAGCAUCAUUCUGAAAAUUAAUUGUGAUCACUAGAGACAAUUGCACAUUCUUCUUCCAUCUCUUGACCUAUAUUUCUGCCAAUUUCACUUUCUCAGUCUACAUGCAGACCUACCUCAGGCUUGUGCCAAAUUACACAUGGAUUACUAGUAAGCAACAGCGCACACAGUUAACUAAAUCAUUGAGCUGGCACACAAAUUUCUCACCCAUUUUGGUCCACAUUCAAAAUGGGUUGCGACUGAGGAAAGAACAUAUUCUGUUUUUUUUUGUUUGUUUGUUUGUUGGCUUGGUUUCUUUUCUGUCCCAGGAAUAAGGAAAAGUAUUACAAGCAAUGGAUCUUGAAUAUCUCCAUAGAAGGAGACUCCAUGACCUCCCUGGGCAACUUUUUCCAGUGCUCCAUCAACCUUAUAGAAAUAGGUGUUAACAAGGCAUCGGGAUGUGACGCAAUAGGACCUCCCCUGCUCUGCUAUGUACGUAGCACCCAAUUUAUCCAAACAACUUUGAAGCACCAAUAAGAGACAAAGAGCCAUUCUGUUCUGGAGUUUGAUAAAUUUAUCUGAAGAUAGAAGGGCAGACUCUACUAUUCCUCCUUGAGGAAAUGAGUGGUAGGUCAGUGCUGAAAUCUAUCCAUUCCACUGGGUUUAUUAGAGAAACAGUAUCCAAAUCAUACUAAUUUAAUCCUGCAUAAAACUUUAGUAUUUCCCGUUAGUUGGCCACAGCCCAAUUUAUACAUAAUUAAAGUCACUUUAAAUUGUUAACCAAGUAAACAUUUUGAAUGUGAAUGAGCAAUGAAGAUUUGAGUAUUUCUUUGAUCUGUAAUCUAUUUUUUUUUUAUGUUUAUUUGCUUAGGGAAACAAAGGACUUGUUUGAACAAUGUUAUUUGAGCCAUAACCUUUAGAGUUUUCUUUUUUGGAUUUUUAAUGGCCUGUAUCACUGGAGGGUGCCAAUGGUAUGCUUUUAAGAAAAAAGUGCUAUAUAAAUGCAAUACACCUCUUCAACUGCUGACUUCUGGUUAACUGGGCAAAGUGUUCAGAUGCUAUAGGUCACUUCAUUUAGCAUCAGAAAUAAAGAUUUCUUUGACCUGAAAACACUUCUUCAAGCAAUAUAUAAACUACUCUUUAGUGUCACAUCUUCCCCAUGCCAAAUCCUUAACUCCUUGACAUUUAAAGUUACAUUUUCCAAAAGCAGAUAGGCAAUUGAAAUCUUAUAUCCUGCUGUAGUUUUUGCUAGUCUGUCAUCUUUUACAGUGCAGAGUACAUUCCCAAUUCACUUGAAGUCAUUUAGCAUCAGGUAUGAGAAGUUGAUGCUUCUAGCUCUUUAAAGGUCUUAGUUAUGGCCUUAGUCCCGCUAGUAUAGGAUGGAUCUUAGUCCUGUAACAGUUUAAAGGAUAGCAGACAUAUCAAGCAUUAUAACAUCUCUGCAUGAAAAAUAACCUUUCUUUUUUAAAAGGAAAAUGUAAACAACAGUAGCAGAAGUCCCUUAUCCAAAACCAAACAAAAUGGAAGAUUCCAGAAAUAAAAUUGCCAAAAAUUUUUGUCAUUCCACUGCACAAAACAAAAAUACAAUUUCCUUCUUUUAAUUUAACAGGCUAAUUAGAAUUUGUUUGUUUUUUCAAUUGUUAGCAACACUACCGAUUAUUGUGAAUUUGAAAGCCAAUUCAGAAAUACUGAGUCUUAUCUGAUAUCAGAUGAAUGCUACAUGCAUAUAGUACAGUGACUAAUGAAAACUCUUUGUUUCAAAGGUAAUGAAAAUUUCAAGACUUUUUUACAUAAGUGAAUUGGAAAUCUAGACCUAAACAAAGAUUAUUCUUUAUUUACACAUACAAGCUAGGCAUUUAGUCAUGUAUAAGACAGUGAUUCAAAUAAUUAGUUUCUGUAAAUAUGUGACCUGUUGCAUUUCUCUUGCUCGUGAUUUUUAUUUUCAUUUGAUUUUUGAAUUCUUAGUCAUAUUCCCAUUUCCUUGCACAGAAAGGGUUUGCUAAACAGAUUGCAUCUCCCAUUGGAGUUCAGCACAUCUUUAAUUAAUACCAGAUCUUCAAAUAUAUUCAGAAGAUUCCCAUUAGAAAGAUCAAGAAUCAUUUUCAUCCCAGUUCUCCAAAGGAAACUUUGAGCAGACACUCUCACCAAUAGUAACAUUGACACAUUAACUUUCUUCAGCCACCUCGCUCAGACUACUUAGUCUGGCUCCACCAUGGCUGGAAGCCUUAAUCAGAUAUCAUACUAACGAAAGCUAUGUCAGUAAUGAUGUCAGAUGAAUGGUGGUCACAUGGCAACAGCCUCAUUUGAAGCAAACAGUGCCACACUUGUUUUUAGGCUACUUUAUGACUCGGCUGAAAAAUGACUUUGUUCACAACGAAACACCACUAAAGUAUGAGCUGUUACUGUAGGAUUUUAGCACGUCUACUAUUUUCUCAACAUUCUUUUAAUAUACCUAGCUAGACAAACAGUGUAAAUAUCAUUAAACUACACAUAUUAUCAAGCUCAUCAAUCAGCAUGUAAGCUAAGCAGAUGAAAGCUUGGCAAUCCUUUCUGGCAUUUCAAAUACUCAAUAAAAUGGAAUGAUGGAAAGUGUAUAAAGGAGAAAAUAUUUUAAUUUUGCACUCUAAAUUGGCUUAUACCCUAUUUACAUUUGUAGAAUAUGGCAACUCAGUUACCUCUCCUGAAAAUGUUUUUCCUGUCCCUGAUGGGGAUGGCAAGGGGCUGCACAGAUGCUCAGAGAGCAGGAUAACAAAGUGUAUUCCUUCUGGUUCCAUUCACAUUGCAACAAAACAGAAGCCUCAUAAUCUUCUGGCAUUUUAUUUAAACUCUUGCUCCUUCUCUGGCUUCUGAAAUCUCUUACUAUUUUCAUUAUGCAGUGUUUUUACCCCCUGUACACAGGUUGCAGACAAGAAUUAUUCUUUCACUGCAAAGCACAGGAAAGACCAUUUUCUCAGAGAUCCUAACUCGACUGGGAAGUAGGCAGUGACAAUUUGGAAUGCGGCUUCUCUGAAAAUCAGACACCAUAUGACCAGCCAUUCCUCUGUGCUUAGGAGGAGGUAAAUAUCAAAGCCACCUACCAGAGAUUAACGUAAUGGAGAAAAUUUGCAAAUUGCCAUGUUCUGAGGCAUGCAGCUACAUUUUCCUAUGACUGUUACUCUGAUUGCAAUCUCAUGAUCAGCUUAAGAUAAUGGACUGCCACUGAUGUUGAAAAGUAAAGUCCCCAUGUCCCUGCUGGCUGCUCCUCCCCUGGCUCUGCUACCCAUCUGCAGCAAGUAGUGUGGAAGGUUGCAGGAGAAACUGGCACAGGUUUUGCACAGAUGCUUGUGUGACCACUGAGGGUAUGGGUGUAGGGUGACAGAAAAUGCCUGAGAAGUAGGGAGAGCAAGACUGCAUCUCUCACUGACAUCAUUGGUUUACAUGUUUUAAAUUCAUCAUGAAGCUGUGGUAUCAGCUUGUAGUGAGAGCCUGAAAUCCAGAUGGGGUCACAGACCUCUCUGCUUGGUCUGUAGUGUCUCUUCCAUUUAAACUUACUGAUCAGGAAGGUGGUUAAAAAUUGUGUUUAUCCAGCUGGAGAGCAGGAAUAAUGACAAAGAUAACAAAUAGGAGCUAACAAACUCCAGAAUUUAAAACAUGGAGUGAUCAGGAAAAAAAAAAAAAUUUAGUAAGUCCCUAAUAAAAAUGAAUCUGUGAAAAUCAAGAACCCUCAAGGAGAACACAAGAAAAAUGUUUAGAUAUUUGCUGAGUGUUAUUCAGUUAUUCCUUUACUGCUAGCGUGAGAACAUGAAAUAGGAGAGUCUGCUACAGAAUAUUCUACUCAUAAGGUAAAAUUAGCCGAAUUUUAACUAGUUCAUAACCCUGGAGCUGUGCUAUCAUAGUCUUUAAAUUAACACAAAAAGUCUGGAAAAGCUAUCUUAAUGCAAGUUUCAAUAAACUACAAUAGAUUCUGGUCACAAAUUGUAUAUCAUUCAUACAAUCAAAGCUUAAGCACUGCUAUUAUUUUCUGUUCCCUUCUGGCACCACUUAGCAAGUUCCAAAUGAAUGAAUUCUCUAUUCAUAGAUAUGUACUGGAAAAGAAUGCAGACUGCCUGAAUUGAAGAAUAGUGUGCAUGCUUCUCUUACCUUCCUCUCAGCUCCUCUGAAAUAUACAGAGUCCUCAGGAAAAUGCACUGAUUUCACAUUUCUGACACAAAUUUGCUGUAUUUUUGCCAGGCAUUUGUUUUUCAUUUACAUUUUACCUGCUUUUUAAAGAUCGUGUGAGCCUUUCUAAAGCCAGAAACGACCAGUCUUUCCAAGUGUAGAAAGUACUUCAGUGAAAUAUGUGUUGGGCCUACUGAUCGUAACAGUAUCCCAAGGCAUGAGAUAGCCCAUGGCCCAACAAAAUAGGAGUCCAAAAUAACUUUUAUAGUGAUUUUCUUGGGGGGACUGAGAAAAGAACUGUAGAAAUAAGGAGAAAGGUGAACAAGCAGAAAGAUACAAGUGAUAGCCUACUUAGAAGAGUUCAAAGAAGUCCUAAGAAGGGCUUAUGAAGCAACUAUCAUCUGAAAACAGAUCAAGGUAGUUAAAACAUCCAAACCAUAUGAGCUUUGAAAGGUUGUGAUCCUGUAUAAGAGAAAGAGGAUGACUUACAACUCUAUCAAGGUUUGUUUUCUGCUUAUACUCACAGAAGCCUACAGUCAACAGAAGCCCAAAGACUUUCUGUUUGAACCUAAAUCAUCAGCAACUUUUUCUAAAUAAAAUGUUUUGUCAUCAGUUUUGGAUCUUAACUCCGAUACUUGUUUGUAUCUGGCAAUGUUAAUGGAAUGAGCUGCGUUUAACAAUAAAAAAAAGGCUAGAGUAACCAAUAAGGAGCCAGGAUAACCACAUCAGGGCAUGCCAAAGGUUUAAACUAGUAUAGCAGACAGUGGCAGAUCUCUAGUAAAGAGCAUAAGAACAGCCAUACAUAUGAUAAUGUUUCCCUAGAAUAUUUUUCCAUCUUCCAUUAGAAAGAUUUCUAUACUAAGCAGAUACAAGAUGGCAGAACUUCAGUGCAUUGAUGCAGAUGGAAGUAAAAAAGGCUAUCAUGAAUAUUAUAUUAUCUCCUCUAGAUACGUUUUGUAUACACCACUUGCACUUUCAUAAAUGCUAACGCUAUUGAAGAUUAGCAGAAUUAUAUGCUGUGUAUGUAGAGACAUUUGUUUCUUUUUUCUUUUUUCUUCUAAGAAGAAUAUAACAGACUCGAAAUUAGACUUAUGCUUAUACAGUAAAUAUAGCACAGUUAAAAAUACAUAGAAUAUUACUGAUUAACAUGAGCAUUAUAAUACACAUGUUUUACGUGAUCAUUGGCUGUUCCCCUUGACCAGUACACCAGAUAAAAAUUGUCUUUUAAUGGAAGAACACUGUACAGAGACCAAAAUAGAAACUGCUAAAACAAACAAGAUAAUUAUCUAAAUUUUAUAAUAUCAGUCAUAAAACGUCUGCUUUUUCCCUUUAUGAGGUUCAUAGAUUAAAUUUAGGGCAGAUGUUUCAUGUAAUUUACUCAGAAAACAGGAAAAUUAUUUAAAAAAACUCAUAAAGCCUACAAAAACACAAAUGAAACUAAUCUAAAACAUAUGCAGUCUACAGGUUUCAAGGAAAAAUUCAUUAUUCCUAUAGCUAUGGACGGGGAUGCUUAGGCGAUAAAACUAUAUCACACUUUUUAUAGUAUCAGAUAUCCUGAACUGCUUUGUACGAGCAGAGGCCCCUCUACAUAUAGGGUGCAUGAGGUAGCUCUGGCUGCUUUCCCAAAGACAAACUAAGAGAAAUGCAAACCCUGCUCCUCCUGCACUGAAGCCAAUCUACUGUCUGUGAUAAUAGAGAAGUACACGCUGCAGCAUGAACAUUGUGGAAAAAUACUGCUUGGCAGUAUCUUGUUACCUAUCUGUACUCUGUAAAAAUGGGAAUAAGAGCAGGUGCAAUGCCUUUAGUACUUCAAAGAGAAAUGUCCCCGCUGUUAAGAGAAACUGAAAUCAACUUCUCUAUAAAUGAGUUAUCUAUGGCCAGGAAAGCCAAGAGAUUUGGAGACAACCUUCAUAAACAUUUUGAAAGAUAUUAUUCUCGUUCAGUAUGAAACACAAACGCAUUGAAGCCUCAGAAAUUGUUAUGACAAAAAGCUUGAAAUUUUCAGAACAGUUCUACUAAAGAAACCCCAGCAAAAAAUAUAUAUGUACCACUGGCUUGUGUGUUUUUAGAUCCAAUUUUUGGAGUGUGAGACUUAUCAUACAGAAAGCAACAGAAGUGCAUCUUUCCUGUCUGUAAUGAUAAAGGUACUGCUCCCUGUACUACCGGUUAAUACACUUGAUGAGAGCAGGAAAAAGAACUGCACCACUAGAUGUAACUGAAGGCCUCAUGAUGUCCCCAUAAAUACAUUAGCAAACAGACAAAAUAAAAAAAAAUCCAAAUGCAAUUUAAAUUAUCAGAAAUCGUGAAAAUACAGAAUCCACAUAUCCAUUACUUUUCACUAAUAUAUGAACAAAAAGAACCAACCAAAAAAAAAACCUUUUUCACAUACACAAAAUUUGGGAAUAAGGCCUAGGCAUCAAAAAAUCUAGCCUACUGUGUUAGUAGGGUUUUAGGGUCACAAGAGAAGAAUAAAUAAGCAAAACUUCAUGCUCAAAGACUACCCAAAGCAACAGGAAAAAAUCAACUUCUUGAUCCUCAGAACUCAAAGAGAUGUGGUACCUCCCUUUUUCCAGACUAAAUCCAACCCUGACUCAAGAGCAGAUCAGUUGAAGAACAAAUCCCUGUGGUGCCGGGUCUGAACAAUUUCUGUGUAGCAAAGCUUUCAUUUCCAAGAGUUUACCCCUUUACACACUGUUCCCGCUGGCAACACAUCACAGCCUGUUUUUGAACAAUGUGAUAAAGGGGAUUUGGCAUUGUAAAUGCAUACUGUGUGUGAGAUACUGAAUGAAAGUAGCAAAGGAAUGGAUGAAAGCUUCUAAGUGUUGCCUAGCCAUCCUGUGUUUCAUCUGAGAAAGACCAGUCACCCACAGACAGAACAGCAAACAAGUACAUCUCAGAAUCGAGGUAGUAGAAAUUAACUCAAUGAAACUAAUAUGUACUUUUUUAUGCCCUUUUAUGGAGCAGAGUUCCUUUGAAGGCACAUCUUUGCACACCAAAUAUUAAAGAAAAUGUUUUCAAAUGUGUCAGCAUAAUAAAAGCUGUGGGACAAGUUGUCUUGCAGAAUGCAUUAGGUUACAACAACGCAGGGAGAAAAGUGUAAACAGUUUAUGAUGAGUAGUGUUAAAGUAGUGCAAGACAAAUGAAGCCAGGUACCUGAUCUGAGGUAGAAGAAACAGCUAGUCCACUUUGAUGAGGCUAAAACACGUGAUCUCAAAUAGAUAUGGCCAGAGCCUCAGAAAAAGCUUCAAAAAUAGUUUGCCUAAUUCACAUGUCAGUUCUUCCACAGGCCAUAAAUAAGGUUCAAAGAGUAAUAAAAGCAGGCAGCAGACAUCAAAUGCAUGCAGUCGUAGAGUAGCCCUAGUAAAAGUGCAUUACUACUUUUCCGCCACACUGAAAAAUUAGCAAGUACUUUCUUCAUACCCAAGUAUGCAUAUACAUACAUACACUUUUGAACAUUUAUACAGUUUAUUAGGUAAUGCAUCUACAGGCAAUAAAUAAAGUUUUGUAAACAUUUUCAUUUCACAAUUGUUAGUGGUAAAGGGAAUGUUUGUGGUACGUGGUCAUUGUGCAAACAGAGUGAAAAUGGUGAAUAUAAACAGUUUUACAGAGUAUCAGAGAGCAAGAGGAAGCUGCAAAUAUAGAGCAUCAGCAGCUGUUCUGGGGCAAGGCAGCCGCUCUGGAUUCAGCUGUACUUGGGCAAACAAGCGGGUGUGGGGAUGCGCAAUAGAAUACAACUUAAAAAAUAGCUAAACUCGUAAGUGGAUGGGAAGGAUUGGUUAUCUUUAUUUAUUUAUUUAUUUAUAUAGAAAUUGGCUUUGUGCCUCAAAAAUGUUCCUGGAUAAUCACUUGAAGAAAACACUGAAUUUAUUUUGGUGUUAUUGACACUUUCUCAAUCCAUUUUCCAUGAAUGUUUGGAUUACUGGUAGGAAAGCUCGGAAAAAAAGAGAACCUAAAACUUAUACAAGAACAUAUGACAUUUCCAGACUGUACAUGUAUUACAAGAUCCAAAUUCUAAGGGACACAUUCAUUGCUCCACAAAAAUAAUAAAAUUACUAGGAAAUAUGCAUUCAGACAAAUUUAUUUAUGAAUACCAAGGUUAUGUUUGCAAAAAAGUAUUCAGCAAAUAACUGGGAAAACAAAUAUUUUGGAGAGCAACCAUGGUGGUUUGUGGAAAAUUUAUCAAUAACUAAAAAAAAAAAUCAAAGAUAUUCAUAAAAUUUCUUACUCAGCUAUAGUCAGACUAGGUUCUUAUGUUGCUACCAGGGCUGCCCUCUCAAGUAUGUUGUCCCUUCCUGGAGCUCACUAGGGUGUUAAUUCAUUGCCAACAGAAUAUUUUUAUGGUAACUAAUGACUACGUCUUGUUUUCAUCCUCAGAAACAUAAUCGGGUGGAAGUAGUUUACCUUUGUGGACGUUUUGAUUAGUCAGCCUUCACCCUGAGUGUCUCAUAAUGCCUGUGUGACUCUGCUUAGAGCAGGACUAAAACUUGCUUGAAGCCCCAGUCUCCUCAGCCUCUGCUCACCAAUGGGUUUUCAUAAAUGCUUCUAUUUUAACUAUCAGUAGAUUUCUUUCUGUGACAACCAGAAGUAAAUAUGUUAUAUGUUCUCCAGACAGCUGCUGUAAUUUAUUGUGGAAGACAGACUCGGCAGUAUCAGUGCUCCAUAGUACAAAUAGUGUAAUAUAACUGUACUAAGAGGGAAGAAAAUUGAUUUUUAACUUUAGCUAAGCUAAAGAGAAUGGGUACAAAAGUAACUUUGUCUUGUUGAUGCAGUGUACUACACACAGAUUAGUUCAGUUGGCUGUUUUGGCUAGGUUCAAAGAAGAAGUGCCACUCUCUCAGACCAGUGUGUGUCUCAAGAAUGGCAGAUCCAGAGGAGCCCUCAGUAGGACGGAGAGAAAAAUAUGCCUUUGAUCCACCCUUAUUGCCAAAUUGUGUGAGCUGAAGCUUUUAUUCAGCUUGCAGUCUGCCUUAGUUUUUUACAAGACUGAGAAAGGUUGUUGGAUCAGACUGAUGGCGCUCAGAGCAACUGAGGCGCACAGAGCAUCCACUUGUGUAGCAAAACUGCCUUUAUCUUUUCAAUUUAUUUGUGCUGUUGGUUAUUCUAUUCAUGAUUUGAAUACAAAGCACUUGUAAUAGUAAUAAAUUAUUUCAGUGUGUGAAAUGCCUUUUUCGGGUUCCUUGGACAUGAUUUUCAGAAGAACCAAGAUUCAAGACUGCGAUCAAUAAGAGAAACAGAAGUAGUACCUUCCACCAUUAGUGUCUGUGAAUCAUGUGUAACAAAUGACUAGCACACUCCAUUGCUGACAUGUUUGGAUAGCAGCCAAAUUUCUGUCAAACUUCACAUGGCUAUCCUUGGCCUACCAGGUUGGCAAUACUAAACUCAAACAUUUUGGGAUGGUUCCUGUCAUGUUCCAGUCUGGAGAGUGGUUGCCCGUUGCUCCCCUUCUGUCACAUUAAGAAUAGAUUGGAUGUAGGCAUCAUUAACAAUAUCGAAGAGACUUCAGCCUGGGCUUCCUUGAAUAAACCUUAAAGGUUUAUUCUACUGUCUUCCUGCUAAUCGCCUAUUUCUCAGUAAUCAAUAGUCUUGAAAACAGGUAUGGAGAACCCCAACCACAGAAUUACAAAACACUAAUCCUGCACUGAAUCAGCAUCAGAUAAAC